rnacentral:rRNA from 1 species
CCUACGGGUGGCUGCAGUCGGGAAUAUUGCGCAAUGGAGGAAACUCUGACGCAGUGACGCCGCGUGCAGGAAGAAGGUUUUCGGAUUGUAAACUGCUUUAGACAGGGAAGAAAAAAGACAGUACCUGUAGAAUAAGCUCCGGCUAACUACGUGCCAGCAGCCGCGGUAAUACGUAGGGAGCAAGCGUUAUCCGGAUUUAUUGGGUGUAAAGGGUGCGUAGACGGAGAAGCAAGUUAGUUGUGAAAUCCCUCGGCUUAACUGAGGAACUGCAACUAAAACUACUUCCCUUGAGUACUGGAGAGGAAAGUGGAAUUCCUAGUGUAGCGGUGAAAUGCGUAGAUAUCUGGAGGAACAUCAGUGGCGAAGGCGACUAUCUGGCACAUAACUGACGCUGAGGAGCGAAAGCGUGGGUAGCAAACAGGAUUAGAUACCCGGGUAGUC